AAAAUCUGGUGGUUUCUUA
rnacentral:misc_RNA from 1 species